rnacentral:rRNA from 1 species
AUUGAACGCUGGCGGCAGGCCUAACACAUGCAAGUCGAACGAGUGGCGGACGGGUGAGUAAUGUCUGGGCAACUGCCUGAUGGAGGGGGAUCACUACUGGAAACGGUAGCUAAUACCGCAUACCAUCGGAUGUGCCCAGAGGGGAUUAGCUAGUGGGUGGGGUAACGGCUCACCUAGGCGACGAUCCGUAGCUGGUCUGAGAGGAUGACCGGCCAAACUGGAACUGAGACACGUCCCAGACUCCUACGGGGGGAAGCAGUGGGGAAUAUUGCAAAAUGGGCGAAAGCCGGAUGCAGCCAUGCCGCGGGUAUGAAGAAGGCCUUCGGGUUGUAAAGUACGUUCAGCGGGGAGGCGGUACCCGCAGAAGAAGCACCGGCUAACUCCGUGCCAGCAGCCACGGUAAUUC